rnacentral:lncRNA from 1 species
GAAUGGGUAAUUGUACCCAUCUUCACGUGCAAACAAGAAAAGGGGGAAGGAUUAAAUCCCUAAAUCACACCACCCCCUCUAUCAUAUUCUCCUCCUUCUCCUCUAUUCUUUAGCAGCGGCAGAGCUCACCGACGCAUGAGGCGGGGACGGUGUAGCUUUCAAGAAGAAUUUUGCACAACAAAGGGAAAGGAAUCCCUAAACCAAGCCACUUCCUCCCUCCUUUUCCCCUUUCACUUUGGUGGUAGCAACGAUGAGCAAGGAUUUGCGAUGGUUUUCCAGUUCGGGUUCCCCUUUUCACGAUGAUCACCAAAGUGAGGUAUGGAUUUAGUUACUGUCUUCAACUAUUUACUUCCGAAAGAGUUGGGAUUACCGGUUUCUUAACAAUUUGAAAAUGACUCCUUUAUUUAGUGACAGUUUGCCUUGGUGAGGGAAUGCCAUCGCUGAGAGUGGCUCGCGAUUACGUCACGGUGGUUUCAGAUUUCUCCUUGACACUGGUAGAGUCUAAGAGGAUUUAUUGCAUAUGUAACUGAUAGAUCCUUUGGUCUGUUGGAUGAUCCCUGAUAAUUUUCUGGCAGCCCACCAUUGCUCUAAUU